GCGGCGGCUGGCCGAGAUGUGAGACAGCAGCUGUGAGCGCGGGGCGCCCCCGGAAGUGCAGGGAUCCCCAGACUAGGCCGUGACCCCGACCGGGCCGGGAGGGGAGUGGGGACCAGGGGCCCGGGGCAAACGCCGAAGACCUGAGCAGACGGAGCGGCGAGGAGACCCCCGCGCGAGCCCAGCGCUCCCGUCGCCAGCGCGUGCACUAAAAUGGGGACGACGCACAGAGAACUAGCGUGGCCCCUGCGUAAACAUCUGACCCGAAAUUCGUGGAGCUCCAGAGACCUCCAGAGCAAGGGCCCCGAGUACGUAGCGGAGAAGCGGGCGGCGCGUGGGCAGAAGCCGGGCCCCGGCGGCGCGUCCUCCCUCCGCGGGACCGAACCCUCGGCGAGCCCGAGCCGGGAGGUCCUAGGUGGAGUCUUGCCUCGGGGCAGGGAGCGAUGACCCCCAGGGAGACACGGCUUCAGCCGCCCCUAGGAAACGUACACCGUGACCUGAGCGGGCCAAGCCGUCUCCAGGUAGCUUAACUACAUCCCAGCCACCGUUGCGUCUCAUUUGGCGCUGACCGGACUCCGAACACCACAUCAAACAGUGCAAUGGGCGUCCUGAGCUUAUUCCUAAUUUUGAAGAAUAUGAAUCUAAUGUUUCUCCAUUAAAUAUUAGAUUUUUAUAGGAUUUUGAAUAUAUGACUUUUGCCAAGUUGAGAAAAUUUUCUCCCAUUCCUAGUUUGCUGUUUUUUAAUCAUGAAAGUUAAACUUUGUUAGAUACUUUUCUACAUUAAUUUAAGUUGUCAUGUGAUUUUCUUUAGAAGUAUUUUAAUGUGGGGGUGCCUGGGUGGUGCAGUUGGUUAAGCGACCAGCUCUUGGCUUCGACUCAGGUUGUUAUCUCAGGGCCAAGAGAUGGAGCCCCAUGAACAGCACCGCACGAAACUGUCAGAAAACUAGGUAUAGAAGGAACUUCCUCAAUCUGAUAAAGGACCUCUAUAAAAAAUCUACUGUAAGUAGGAGUAUACUGUAGCAGGAGUGUGCUUGGGAUUGUCUCUCCCUAUCCCUGCCCUUCCUACUUAUGCUCUCUCUCUCUCUCAAAUAAAUAAAUAAAUAAUAAUAAAAAGAA